AGCGUCUGGAAAGGCGCGCGAUACAGGGUGACAGCCCCGUACACAAAAGCGCAUGUGCUGUGAGCUCGAUGAGUAGGGCGGGACACGUGGUAUCCUGUCUGAAUAUGGGGGGACCAUCCUCCAAGGCUAAAUACUCCUGACUGACCGAUAGUGAACCAGUACCGUGAGGGAAAGGCGAAAAGAACCCCGGCGAGGGGAGUGAAAAAGAACCUGAAACCGUGUACGUACAAGCAGUGGGAGCCCCACCACUAAGCCAGUGGUGAACUCCACAUMCGCAUCCUUUGCUGAGGAUACGGUUAACGGAGCGAAAGCGACGUUCAACCGCAAAASAAGCAGAGGGGGCUUAGUGGUGGGGUGACUGCGUACCUUUUGUAUAAUGGGUCAGCGACUUAUAUUCUGUAGCAAGGUUAACCGUAUAGGGGAGCCGGAGGGAAACCGAGUCUUAAUYGGGCGUUAAGUUGCAGGGUAUAGACCCGAAACCCGGUGAUCUAGCCAUGGGCAGGUUGAAGGUUGGGUAACACUAACUGGAGGACCGAACCGACUAAUGUUGAAAAAUUAGCGGAUGACCUGUGGCUGGGGGUGAAAGGCCAAUCAAACCGGGAGAUAGCUGGUUCUCCCCGAAAGCUAUUUAGGUAGCGCCUCGUGAAUUCAUCUCCGGGGGUAG
rnacentral:rRNA from 1 species